rnacentral:rRNA from 1 species
AGCCUGCAACUCGGCUGCAUGAAGCCGGAAUCGCUAGUAAUCGCGGAUCAGAAUGCCGCGGUGAAUACGUUCCCGGGUCUUGUACACACCGCCCGUCACACCAUGGGAGCCGGGAAUGCCCGAAGUCAGUGGCCUAACCGCAAGGGAGGAGCUGCCGAAGGCAGGCCCGGUGACUGGGGGUGAAGUCGUAACAAGGUAAC